ACGUUGAAACACCAGUUCCCGUAUGAUCACCGAAGUUAAGCAACAUCAAGUCUGGCCAGUACCUAAAUGGGUGACCGCUUAAGAAUACCAGGUGCUGUAAU